rnacentral:rRNA from 1 species
GAUGAACGCUAGCGAUAGGCUUAACACAUGCAAGUCGAGGGGCAGCAUGGUCUUAGCUUGCUAAGACUGAUGGCGACCGGCGCACGGGUGCGUAACGCGUAUGCAACUUGCCUCACAGAGGGGGAUAACCCGUCGAAAGACGGACUAAUACCGCGUACACUCUAUUUUGGGCAUCCAAGGUAGAGGAAAUGAAAUUCGCUGUGAGAUAGGCAUGCGUCCCAUUAGCUAGUUGGUUAGGUAACGGCUCACCAAGGCGACGAUGGGUAGGGGAACUGAGAGGAUGAACCCCCACACUGGGACUGGGACACUGACCAGACUCCUACGGGAGGCAGCAGUGAGGAAUAUUGGUCAAGGGGCGAGGGCCUGAACCAGCCAAGUCGCGUGAAGGAUGACUGUCUUAUGGAUUGUAAACUUCUUUUGUAGGGGAAUAAAGAGGGGCACGUGUGCCCCAGUGAAUGUACCCUACGAAUAAGCAUCGGCUAACUCCGUG